rnacentral:lncRNA from 1 species
CACGUCGCCCGCCCUAGUCUGCUUUUGUGAAUCUCCACUUUGUUCAACCCCCACCCGCCGUCUCUCCCUCCCUGCGCCUUCCCUCUAACCUUAAAGACCCAGCUACCUCUACGCAAAUGGUAGCUACCUCUGCGCAGGUGGAAGUUGAGUUCGGUUCACGCGGGACCCUCUUCCCUGUGGCAAGCUGCUGAAGGAGACCUGCUGUUACUGCUUUAGCUGCUGUUCUGCUUAAUCUCAGACAGCUGGAAGCACGUGCCCAGCUUCCUUUCAAGUCUCUGGCCAAUGCAAUGUGAGCAGAAGUGAAGGGGCAACUUUCAGGUGAUGACUUGGAAAAGAAAGCUUAGUCCUCUGCUUCUCCUGUCACCCGAAAGAGAAACAGAGGCUUGUCUUGUUGAAGCCAGUGUGUUUGGUGUCUUUUUGUAUAGUGGCUUAGACAGUGGCCUAACUAGAAGACCAAGGCUCAAAGGAACACAUUUUGAGCUUCUCCACAGUUUGAGAACCUCUACAUUACCUACACCAAGCCUUCCCCAGCACUCAAUUUAUGGAAGACCAUUUCUCUUCUCAUGACACAUGUCCUCAUGUUGCUUUGGCCUGUUUUAAAGCUUUCUCAACUCCAUCUCAAUAAAGAAAUCUGCAGCUUUGUUGGAUGAGAGGAUCUAAAAAGUUCGUUCUUCCAAUCGGUUGUAAAUAUAGACACUAAUUUAUAAACUGACACAGGAACACACAGCAAAUUAGUAGAAAAUCCGAUUCCUGUUCCCUUUUCUCCUUGCAUUGUUUCCUGCCAAUGCUCACCAUUUCUUUAUCCUUUCCACUCUUCCUUGCUCCUCCUUCCCUUUAAUUUUUCUCUGUUGUGCCUAAAUAAGCUGUCCAUGCAUGGCACUCCAUGGGCUCUGAUAACAGACUCAACAAGACAAUGACUUAAAGAUGGAGUGACCAGCUGAUCAGUCACACAAGUUGUUCCAGUGUAAUUAUUUUCACAGGUGUCUCAGUUUGGAUGAUAAAUUAUAUGAACACUC